UGGGUGGGAUGGGAUGCGGAUUGCAAUCGCGUUCGCAAUGCGAAGGACGGGAGUUCGAUCCUCCUCCGCGCAA
rnacentral:tRNA from 1 species